rnacentral:rRNA from 1 species
GGCAGCAGGCGCGCAAAAUUACCCAAAUCCCGACACGGGGAGGUAGUGACAAUAAAUAACAAUAUAGGGCUCUUUCGGGUCCUAUAAUUGGAAUGAGUACCAAUUUAAAUCCCUUAACGAGGACCAUUGGAGGGCAAGUCUGGUGCCAGCAGCCGCGGUAAUUCCAGCUCCAAUAGCGUAUAUUCAAAGUUGUUGCAGUUAAAAAAGCUCGUAGUUGAACUUUCAGACCUGGCUGGGGCGGUCAGCUUAACGGCGUGUACUGUCUGGCUGGGGUCUUACCUCUUGGUGAGCCGAUGUGCCCCUUUAUUGGG